rnacentral:rRNA from 1 species
UACGAAGGGGGCUAGCGUUGUUCGGAAUUACUGGGCGUAAAGGGCGCGUAGGCUGUGCUGUAAGUCAGGCGUGAAAUCCCCGGGCUCAACCUGGGAAUUGCGUUUGAUACUGCGGGGCUAGAAUUAGGAUGAGGUCAGCGGAAUGUGGCAUGUAGCGGUGAAAUGCAUAGAUAUGCCAUAGAACACCAAUUGCGAAGGCAGCUGGCUAGACCUGGAUUGACGCUGAGGCACGAAAGCGUGGGGAGCGAACAGG